rnacentral:lncRNA from 1 species
CAAAAACCAAACAAAAGGAAACACAGCAGGACUUGUUAAAGAGACUUAUUCUGACUUCCCUGCUGACAGUCAAAAGGAAUUAGUCAUGUGGUUGUUCGGAAUGUGCAAUCACCUGAGACUAAAAUGACCUCACCAGAGUAAACGACAGAGCACAACAUACCCGUAAUACAGGAUUUGCAGGGGAGAAUGAACUAUGUACUAGCGUUUUGCCAUUCUUGCCCCACCCUCGCCUGCCACCAAUGAGGUUAGUAUUCUCUAGUGAUAACUAGAGGAACUUCCUCUAGCUCUUCUGGAACAGCUUUUUCUUUUGUGAUGGGAUUUCAUGAUAUAGACCAUGCUGGUCUGUAAUCUACAGUCAUCUUGCCACAGGCUCCAGAUGCUAGGACUACAGAGCCUAAAAUCAGCCAGAUGAUCCAGGAAACUCUGGGAGUCCUGAUUCGCUUCCAAAGGCAAUUUGUUCUUCAUUGCCUGCUGCAUGGAUUGCUGUUUCAAUUAAGGUUUUCCAUGUUUCACAUAAAAGCAUGCACAGAGACUUAAAGAAUCAAUUUCAGUAUCACGGGUUUAUACACACAAAUCACCUUGCUUUCCCUGGUUCUCUUUCUUUCUUCUCUCCCUGGCUCCACCCUAUCCCCCAAUUCCAUUAAUAUUCAUUUUAAAAUAAAACACUUUGAUGUGUAUGUUGGUAAAAUCUUUUAACAUUUUUCUUUCUCUAAAUUUUAUAUUAUGAUCACCAAGAUGUCCCAUGAUUGUAAACAUUUUGCAAAUUUCACAGUAUAUUAA